rnacentral:tRNA from 1 species
CAGAGAAUAGUUUAAAAAAAUAUUAGUUUUGGGAAUUAAAGAUAAAGUGGUUUCUUUUUCUCUGA